GGGAUAGCAGCGGAAAUCCUUUUUGUGUAGCGUAGCGGAACAAAAGAUUGUAGCGGAUAGCCCGACGGCGC
rnacentral:sRNA from 1 species